GUUUCUUUGAAAAAGCAGAAAGAUGGGAGUGCCACGGGCGCGGCAUACAGGUACGUGAAGGGGCCUUGCCAGGGGCGCCUGCACUUCCGCCCUGGAGAAGGCACAGCCUGGUUAGGAGGGUGGCUGAAUGGGAGACCCCAUCCCCAUCUUAGCUAAACCCUAUAGCACCCCUGUUAGAGGCUCCUGGAGACAAGCUUCCUAAAGAAACCAGGCAGAGUCCUGCUCCAAGUUCCUCCCGCCAGAGAUGAGGACAGCUGCUGGCGUUGGAGCCAGGUGCUCCCCAAGGCGCCCUCCGGCCUGGCUCACUCUCCCAGCCCUGACAAGGAGGGCUGCCUCAGCCCCACCACACAGGAGAAGGGCACUCUUACUUGGUUUCCAGAAGCUGUGAGUUUUCCAGUAGCAGAUUCCCCACUUCUUUGCCCAUUCCUGAAACAGAAGGUGUGGAGGUUUCACCUGUGCCCUUCAAAACAGGACACUGAUGCCGCCGCACCUGCCUCAGGGCAACAAUGCUUCCAAAGAGGGUAGCCUGGCUGGGGGUGACGCCCGAUCUACAGGGAGCGGGGGCCGUGAGGGGCGGGGCUCAUGCUGGGCCCGCAGUCUGUGCACAGAGCAGGCUCCCAGGCCUUGGGGUGGUUCUCAUGUCCGACCAAUGUCACAGGCCGGCUGGCCGGACGCAGGCCCCUGAAUGGCCGCUGGGUUGCCAUCUCAGUGCCCCCAGCAGGUCCGUCACCAGGCAGGCCCUCUCGGAGCCACCACCCUAGGCGAGUGAUGUUGGAGCUGCGGUGAGGGGACAGGUGGGCAAGGAGAGGCCUGGCCCUCACGGCAGGGCCAGCAGGGCUGGGGUGCGGUGAUGGGGCGCGGCUGUGAGGACGGGGCUCCCUGGCUCCCUGGCAGGACUGAUGGCUCCUCUACCACCAGGCCCCAAGUGGACCUGGACUGAUCUCCCUGCAAGCAUGCCCCAGAAACCCCAAAAGGAUGGAAAGAAACUCCAAGGUCCUGCCCUCCCACACACUCCCCCACUGUGUAUGCAGUCAUGAAACAGCAUCACACGCCUCUGUGCCUGGGCUCAGGGGUCCUGCCUGCUGUCUCUAUUAUGACCUCUCUUGCCUCAAACAUGGGCCUUCCUCCUCACAGGCAGGGUCUGCCCGGCGCUUGUGGGGGUUCAGAGAGGCUGGGGCUGCCCUCCUCGGGCCUUCAAGUCUGUCCCUUGGGGGAAGUCGCCACCUCCCACAGCCCAGAGGCAGCCUGGACAGAGCGAGCUUCACUCAGGGCUGCCCCCCUGACCCCGGCGGCCCCAACACUGUCCCCAUCAUGCAGAACAAAGCAAACGGCUCAUGAAGCAGGAGACCAUGUCGGGGUGGAGGAGCGACGCACGCUGGAACGGGGCCUCAGCCUUACCAAAGAAAUCAUCACGCACUAGGGAGCCGUCCCCGUCCCACAGGAGAUGGGCAACCAGGGCGGGAGGAGAGGGAGAAAGGGAGAGAAGAGAAGCGCGUUAAGCCCGUGUGGACAGCAGGCUGGGAGGAAUUCAGAGCGGGGUCUGCUGGGUUAGGGUGGGCGCAGGAGGGAGUUAGGAGGGCAGGAGAUGGGAUGGAGCCAGCUACUCCUUCUGGAAAGUUUAUCCUUGGGGUUGCAUGAAGACUGCCAGGCCAGUGUCACCUGUGGAGCAGGAAGCUAACAUCUCACCCCAAAUUCUGGGCUGGGUGGGGCUGAGGGCAGAAGGCACCCCUGUGGGGAUGGGCUGUGCCUGGAGGCUGGGGGGCUGCAUCUGGACAGCCUCUGGGUGGGGCCUCGGAGCCUCCUCCUGUGCAGCCAGAGAGCAGGACUCGGCCUGUCCACCCACGUGGGGAGGGGACCCCGGGCUGGGUUUCGUAGGGGCUUCAAGGACCCCUGACUUCUGGGGUGUGCCUGACAGCAGGGGAGGCCCCAGAGCUGGCCUUGGCCAUGUCCAGUCACUGCCGUGCGUGGCUUAGGGCUCCGCAGGGCCUUCAGAAAUGGCCCGCGGGGGACUCCUCAGGCUGGGGGGGUUGGAUAUCCAGGUCAUUGACAAGUGGCUGGUGGAGCAAACCGAACAAGCUUCCGAGCGGCGGUGGCUGCGAGCAGAAGCAGAGGCGCUGCGGCGAUGUGGGGGGCAGUCCACACAGCCACGGUGACGGGAUAGCUCGGGGCAUCCCCCGUCCACCCACUCCCCCCGUCACACAGAGGGGAGACAGGAGAGUGAGAUACUCACCUGAGAACUCCCCUGGCGUGUCCAGCGAGGCACAGAGAGGCAGGGGAAGGAAGGGACAAAGGUCAAUUAGCAACUGGAACUAACAAUAAAGAAAUUCUUAUUACAGAAAACCCAGCAAUGAUUCGGCCGCUCCCAUGUUGCAGGGCAGGAGAGAGAAGGAGCAGCCUCCAGCAGGUCCCGGUGCCCCGUGUGCCCAGGCAGAGGCCUACAGGGAACCAGGCCCAGGCGCCGUGGUCCAGCCCAGGGCUGUGUUGCCGAGCCCUGACCCUGAAGCCUGCUCCCCUCUGCUCCCAUUGCCCAUCAGGAGGGCAGACCCCCUGCAGCCCCCAUGAUGCAGGCCUGUGAAGAGGAGAGUGUGUGUGGCAGGGUGUGGCAGGUACCCAGCCUCCAAAAGCCCCCCAGCAUGGGCGAGGGAGAGAGCGGCGAGGGAGACACCGCAGACGCAGGCCUGGAGCUGGACUCCUAGGCUCCUGGGUCAGCCCAGGAGGCUGGCGAGGGAAACGCUCUGCGGGAAAACACCACUUUCUCCAACAGAGGUGAGGACGCGGUUCUCUUCUACUUGGUUGUUUCACACAGCAAGGAAAAUGGCAUUAAAAAGUCACUUGAGCCGGGCGUGGUGGCUCACGCCUGUAAUCCCAGAACUUUAGGAGGCCGAGGCGGGCGGAUCACAAGGUCAGGAGAUUGAGACCAUCCUGGCUAAUGCGGUGAAACCCCGUCUCUACUAAAAAUACAAAAAAUCAGCCAGACCUGGUAGCGGGCGCCUGUAGUCCCAGCUACUUGGGCGGCUGAGGCAGGAGAAUGGCUGAACCCGGGAGGCAGAGCAUGCAGUGAGCUGAGAUCACACCACUGCACUCCAGCCUGGGCGACAGAGCAAGACUCUGCCUCAAUUAAAAAAAAAAAGUCACUUGAUUUAGAUGACAAAACGGCUGUUUGUUAUUGGAAUUCCAAUAAUAAAGCAAUUCCCAAUUCGAGAGCGGAUGUCCUUCUCUCUCAUCUCCGCUUCCCAGGGCAACCACUGCUCACGGCCAAUAUUCUCCUCUCAGGUUUCCUUCUAGAUAAGCAACAGGUUUCAAAGAACAAAAGCGGGACCCCAUUAUCCAUCUCUCUGGGAGGCUUCCUGUGUUCCACUCAGCACUUUUAUGGGACUUGCCUGUGCUGAGGUUCCUGGAUGCCUUUAUUUAUUUUUUGAGACGGGGUCUCACUCUGUUGCUCAGGCUGGAGUGCAGUGGUACUAUCAUAGCUCACUGCAACGUUGACCUCCCAGGCUCAAGAGAUCCUUCCACCUCAGCCUCCUGAGUAGCUGAGUCUACAGGUACAUGCCACCACGCCCGGCUAAUUUGUGUGUGUGUGUGUGUGUGUGUUUUCUUAGUAAAAAUGAGGUCUCACUAUGUUGCCCAGGCUGGUCUUCAACUCCUGGGCUCAAGCAAUCUGCCCACCUUGGCCUCCCAAAGUGCUGGGAUUAUGGGUGUGAGCCACUGUGCCUGACCCCGGUUGCUUUUUUAGAUGGGGUCUCGUUCUGUCACCCACGUUGGAGUGAAGUGGCGCGAUCCACCUCCCAGGCUUAAGCAAUCCUCCCCAUCAGCCUCCCAAGUAGCUGGGGCCAUGGGUGCGCACCACCAUGCCCAGCUAAGUAUUUGGUAGAGACGGGGUUUCGCCAUGUUGCCCAGGCUGGUCUUGAACUUCUCAGCUCAAAUGAUCCACCUGCCUUGGCAGGCAUGAGCCACUGCCCCUGGCCUGGUUGCUUUCUAUGCCCUGUAGUGUUUCUCUAUGGGAAUAUCUCAUCAUCUGUCACUGUACCCGCUCCCCCGAGACUUGGGGUCCCUGUGUGAGGGCUUGAGGUACUUUUCAGCCCUGUGACUGCCCGACUGCUCCCUCGAAGGAGCAUCUCCAGCUGCUGGUCCACCACCAUUACCACCCGCCAGUGCUCGGUGGGGCUGCACCCAUCACCCCUGGCUGGCAUGUAGGGCAGCACCUGCUUCACCCUAGUCAGCCUCGAUUGUCUUAUUUUCAAUCUUUUAGGGAAAACGUUUUCUUGAUUUUCUCUUUAUUUCUUUAUUAUUUCCAAAAUUGAGCAUCUUUUCAGAUGUUUAUUGGUAUAGCCUAUAAAUUUCCUUUUCCUUUUUUUUUUUUUUUUU